GACGAACGCUGGCGGCGUGCUUAACACAUGCAAGUCGAACGGUGAAGCGCCUUCCUUUUUGGUGGGUGUGGAUGAGUGGCGAACGGGUGCGUAACACGUGCGUAACCUGCCCCCUUCUUCUGGAUAACCGCAUGAAAGUGUGUCUAAUACGGGAUAUUCUGCGCCUGUCGCAUGAUGGGUCUGGGAAAGCUAUUGUUUCGGUGGGGGCUGGUCUCGCGGCCUAUCAGCUUGUUGGUGGGGUGCUGGCCUACCAAGGCGGUGACGGGUAGCCGGCCUGAGAGGGAGUGAGGCACCGUCGAGACUGCGAUGGGACGCAGCAGCGGAGAAUAGGGAACAGUGGGGACGAGCGUAAUGCAGGGGGGACGCGGGAGGGAUGGAGGCCUUCGGGUGGUGAACCGCUUUCGGUAGUGAAGCAGGUCUGCCUGGGAUGUGGGGGGAUUGACGGUACCGGGAGAAGAAGCGCCGGCUAACUACGUG
rnacentral:rRNA from 1 species